CCUACGGGAGGCAGCAGUGAGGAAUAUUGGUCAAUGGACGGAAGUCUGAACCAGCCAUGCCGCGUGCAGGAAGACGGCUCUAUGAGUUGUAAACUGCUUUUGUACAAGGGUAAACCUGAAUACGUGUAUUCAGCUGAAAGUACUGUACUAAUAAGGAUCGGCUAACUCCGUGCCAGCAGCCGCGGUAAAACGGAGGAUCCAAGCGUUAUCAGGAUUUAUUGGGUUUAAAGGGUGCGUAGGCGGAUUGAUAAGUUAGAGGUUAAAUGUCCGAGCUUAACUCGGGAACUGCCUCUAAUAAUGUUGAUCUAGUGAGUAGAUGCGGUAGGCGGAAUGUAUGGUGUAGCGGUCAAAUGCUUAGAGAUCAUACAGAACACCGAUUGCGAAGGCAGCUUACCAAUCUAUAUCUGACGUUGAGGCACGAAAGCGUGGGGAGCAAACAGGAUUAGAUACCCCUGUAGUC
rnacentral:rRNA from 1 species